GUCUCUGGAGGAAGGGAAGGUCACCACCGGAGAAGGGUUGGAGUGGGGUGUUUUGUUCGGGUUUGGGCCUGGUCUAACAAUAGAGACCGUCGUGCUACAUAGCAUCCCCACAGAGAUGGCAGCUCAAUGAAUUAAUUAGAUAUUCAGAAGCGAGGAAAAUAAAGAUUCAUACGAAGAGUCAAGCAUGAAAUAAAUGAGUGUAUAUAGAUAAAUAUGUAAUAUUAAGAAUAUGUGUGAAUAUUUGAAUUCAGAGUGUUGAUACGUGUAUCGUAAAGAGAGAUUAUUAGGUGCACCCGAUUUAUAUGCAUUCUCUCUCUAUGAACAUGGGUCUCACUUUUCUAUAAGUAAGGAAAACUGUUUUAUCGUAUCUAAAUGAGCACUAUUUUUUAGUGCUCCUGAUGUAUUCAAUAAUUAACCG
rnacentral:misc_RNA from 1 species